CUAAGGUCAACAAAAGGGAGGUUGAAGAAUAAAAUUUAGAUUAGUUGUUUUGAGAAAUUUUGAAUACUUCAUGUGAGGAGAGAAUCCUCUUCCUUGGUGCGAUGCCAAGAAGGCUGAAGGAAAGGUGAGAUGCCAAUCACCUUCAAUGUCAACCCUUAGAUUGGAUGAGGGUGUGACUCUCUCAUCCAAGCCAUAGUUAUCCUCCCUUGUUUCACGCCUCACCUUGCUCACGCCCUCCUUAGAAUCCUUCUUCCUUUAGGAUUCUAAGACUCCAUCCACGUUCAAGCCC
rnacentral:lncRNA from 1 species